GCCAGGCAUGUUGGCACAUGCCUGUAAUCCCAGCUACUCGGGAGGCUGAGGCAGGAGAAUUGCUUGAACCCAGGAGACAGAGGUUGCAGUGAGCUGACAUCGCGCCACUGCACUCCACCCUGGGCAACACAGCGAGACUCUGUCUCAA
rnacentral:SRP_RNA from 2 species